rnacentral:lncRNA from 1 species
UAGUAACAUUGAUUUUGAUUGAGGAGAGACGAGAGUUUUGAUUAUAUAUCAAAGGGAAAAAAAUUUAAAAUUAACAUGGAGGUGCCAAAUUGUAUAGCAUUUUUGAGAAGAGUCUGUGCUUUGGUGUGUAUAGGCGCAUGAGCAUUAUGAUUGACUCGAGGAGUCAGAUUGCUUGUAGCAUUUGAGUGGUGUGAUUAUUUAUUCAAUUUGAUAGAAAUGCCAAACCAAGAUAAAUUUGGUAUAUGUAAGUUUUGGAUUGAGCAUCUUUAACU